rnacentral:rRNA from 1 species
CUUUACUGUAGCCUGGAAUGGGGUUCGGGCUUUGCUUGCGCAGGAUAGGUGGGAGGCGUUGAACUUGCUCUUGUGGGAGCAAGGGAGCCAACGGUGAGAUACCACUCUGGCGAAGCUAGAAUUCUAACCCGUAGCCGUAAUCCGGCAUGGGAACAGUUUCAGGUGGGCAGUUUGACUGGGGCGGUCGCCUCCUAAAGCGUAACGGAGGCGCGCAAAGGUUCCCUCAGGCUGGUUGGAAAUCAGCCGCAGAGUGUAAAAGCACAAGGGAGCUUGACUGCAAGAGACACAGCUCGAGCAGGUAGGAAACUAGGCUUUAGUGAUCCGACGGCAGUGAAUGGAAGCGCCGUCGCUCAACGGAUAAAAGUUA